ACAAGCACGCAACAAUUAGAAAUAGUUAAUACAAACAUUUGCCACAUAGUCCCGCCACAAGCUCCGACUCCAGCAAAAUAGUUAUCCCACCUGUUCGUUCUCACGUUGCCCGAUGAGGACAGGCGAGCAUCCCCAGUGCCUUUUCAUCUAAUCAUGGCUUGUGUGAACAUCGACCUCUCGUCAGGCGCCAUGUCAUGUUACUUCAGCCGUUUCAACUAAACUGACGCAUGGCUGCCUGCCUGUGAGUUACUGUGUGUCCUUGGUGUCAAUUUGGUUAUCCUUUUAGUUCGCUACUAGUAGCGUCGCUACCUUGAUAUCUCACCUGUGUUGCCUUUCAGUCAUACGUGCUUGGCGAUGUUUCAACUGGCUCUCCUACCAGGAUCAGGGGACCGGUGUCCUUGCGCAGACUUGUGGCGGGCUACCAAUUUUACUCCAGGAAAAGUGUGGGCUCGCACCAACCUGAGUGUUCCUCACGCUAGGGCAAAGGAAUAAAACCCAUAUAUAACGUCAUUCCUGACUGUAAGUUCAUGUGCAGUACAUAGGCUCAGACAAUAGAAUCAAGAAUAGCAAUGCCACUUACCAAGAAGAGGAUUGGAAGCCUGGGAAGCCGAAAACGCAUGUUUUUUUUUUUUCCUGGAAAUCAACCACGUAGUUAUGCCAACUGUUGGUUGGAGGAGGUAUUUAUUGCGCAGAUAUAAAUUAGUUAUUCCAGCAUGUGUUCUUUCUUUUCUCCUCCUUUGGCCCGUCUUCUUCUUCCCAGCCGGAUGAAUAAAAAAUGAUAUUUUGAAUAUGUGUGAAAACCAUCUUGUGUAAUCUAACUAAUGUUUCUUAAUUACGAAACAGAGAUUGAUGGUUUAUCAUAAUUAUCAAGAGUCCGUGAUAAAGUUAGAACCAGGCCUACCUCCCUGAGGAAUCUCAUAGUUGCCCCCGUAUACACAUUUGAUAAUGAGAGGACUUCUUCCAUCUGUAGUCUCUCUCCUGGAGAUUGCGCCAAUACACCUCUCGGCAUUUUUUACGACGG
rnacentral:sRNA from 1 species